AAUGAACGCUGGCGGCGUGCCUAACACAUGCAAGUCGAUCGGCACUGCGGACGGGUGAGGAAUGACUAGGGAUCUGCCUGGUUGUGGAGGAUAACGUCCGGGGACGGGCGCUAAUACCGCAGUCUAUCAAGUGCGCCUAGUGGGGAGUAGCUAGUUGGUGGUGUAAAGGCAUAACAAGGCGACGAUCCGUAACUGGUCGGAGAGGCUGAUCAGUGACACUGGAACUGAGACACGGUCCAGACUCCUACGGUAGGCAGCAGUGGGGAAUAUUGGACAAGGGGCGAAAGCUUGAUCCAGCCAUGCCGCGGGUGAGAAGAAGGUCUUCGGAUAGUAAAGCACUUUAAGUUGAGAGGCGUUAGCAACAGAAAAAGCACCGGCUAACUUCGUGCCAGCAGCCGCGGUAAUAC
rnacentral:rRNA from 1 species